rnacentral:rRNA from 1 species
CGGACGGGUGAGUAACACGUGGAUAACCUACCUAUAAGACUGGGAUAACUUCGGGAAACCGGAGCUAAUACCGGAUAAUAUAUUGAACCGCAUGGUUCAAUAGUGAAAGACGGUUUUGCUGUCACUUAUAGAUGGAUCCGCGCUGCAUUAGCUAGUUGGUAAGGUAACGGCUUACCAAGGCAACGAUGCGUAGCCGACCUGAGAGGGUGAUCGGCCACACUGGAACUGAGACACGGUCCAGACUCCUACGGGAGGCAGCAGGC